AAAAUUCUAUGUUAAAAAAUUGUCUAAUAAAAUAAAUUUUUUAUGGUUUAAAAAUUUUAUUUUAAAUUUAUUUUACAUAUAAAUUUUAGUGUUAUUUAUUAAUUAUUUAGAUAAUAAUUAUUUUAUAUUUGUAGUAAUUAAUUUUAAAAAUUUAAGAAAUUAAGAUUUAGUAAUAUUAAAAUUAAUAACUAAUUUUGUGCCAGCAGUUGCGGUUAUACAAAAAUUGAUUUAAAAUUUUUUAGUAAUUAAUUAAUAUUUUUUUUUUAGAUAUAAUAAAAAUUUUAAAUUGUAAGGUAAAAUUUAAAUUUAAUAAAAAUUUAUAUUAUAAUUAUGAUUUAAUAAAUUUAAUUUAAAAACUAGGAUUAGAUACCCUAUUAUUAUAAAUUUAAAUUAAUAAUACUUAAAUAGUAGAUAAUUAUUUAUUGAAACUUAAAUAAUUUGGCGGUAUUUUAGUUCAUUUAGAGGAAUCUGUUUAAUAAUUGAUAAUCCACGAAUAAAUUUACUUAAUUUAAUAUUUUGUAUAUCGUUGUUAAAAAAAUAUUUAAUAAUAAUUAAUAAUAUUUUAAAAUUUUAAUUAAAAAUUAAAUCAGAUCAAGAUGCAGAUUAUAAUUAAGAAUAUAAUGGAUUACAAUAAAUUUAUUUAAAUUGAAUUUUAAUAUGUAAUAGUUAAAUGAAAUUGGAUUUAAAUGUAAUUUUAUUUAUAUUAAUAAAAUGAUUAUAAAUUAAAAUAUGUACAUAUUGCCCGUCGCUUUCAUUUAUAAAUUGAAAUAAGUCGUAACAAAGUAGAGAUACUGGAAAGUGUUUCUAGAAAGAU
rnacentral:ncRNA from 1 species